AGUUCUGUAGUGUAGUGGUUAUUCCAUUUGCUUUAUACUCAGAAGGUCCUGGAUUCGAACUCCAGUGGAACCA